AUGCAGGUGUUUGAAAAGCUUAAAUGGGUAAGGAAGGGGCUUGUGGAUUGGAAAAGACAGAAGUGGCGUAGCUCUAAAGUUUACAUUGACAACUUACGGGAGGAGCUGUGCACUGCUUUUCGAGGUCCAGUCUUUUAGGGCAACAAGAUCAAAAGGCUUGAAAAGGAUCUCAAAACUGAGUUACAAAAAGAGGAACAAUAUUGGAAGUUGAAGUCCAGAGUAGAAUGGCUGCAAGAAGGUGAUAAGAAUACAAAGUUUUUUCAUUCCAAGACCGUAUCUCGCAGAAGAAUUAAUCGGUUGCAUGGGCUAGAGGAUCAAGGUGGCAUUUGGUAUGGGGAGGAAUAUGAUAUUAAGAGGAUUGUGGAAUCAUAUUUUCAGGAUCUAUUCACGUCCGCUAACCCGGUGGGUAUUGAUGAGAUCCUGGAGUGUGUACAUGCCAUUGUUUCGUUCCAGGAUAAUAUUUCUCUAAGUAAGCCAAUUUUAGCUAAUGAAGUGGUGGCUGCUGUCAAGCAACUGAAUCCUAGUAAAUCAUCUGGACUGGACUGAUUCACUGGAAGUUUAUAUCAAAAGUUUUGGGCUUCUUGAGAUGGUUAAUACCUUCUUCCAUUAUGGGAGCAUGCUUCGGAAGUUCAACCACACCCACAUUGUCUUGAUAUCUAAAGUUGAGAACCCUAGAAGAAUGACGCAGUAGCGGACUAUGUCUUUAUGUAAUGUGGUGUAUAAAAUCAUAUCUAAGGUGUUAACUCUUGCAUGUGGUAAGUCUGAACCAAUCGGCUUUUGUUGCAGAGAGACAAAUUACUGAUAAUAUUUUGGUGGUACAUGAGAUACUACAUACCCUCAAAACCGCUCAGGGAUCGGAUCAACAAUACAUGGCUAUGAAAUUAGAUAUGGCUAAAGCAUAUGACAGAGUGAAAUGGGCUUUUUUGGAUGCCAUGAUGGGGAAGUUGAGGUUUGAAAGCCGGUUCCGAGGUUGGAUUAUGGAAUGUGUUACUAUAGUUUCAGUGUCUUGAUCACUCAAGAGGAUCCAUUAUCUAUUUUUUUGUUCCUCAUAUGUGUCGAAGGACUUAAGGUGUUGAUAGGAAUUUAGGAAUCUGGUGCAUGGUGUCCAAUUCGAACUGGGGGUGUAACUAUCUCCCACUUAUUUUUUUUGGUGAUGAUUUGGUUUUGUUAUGUCGAGCGUUGGAAGAGGAAGCCCCUUGUCUGUUAGAGGUUUUGGAGGAUUAUGCGGCUGGUUCAGGCCAAAGUUUAAUUUUGAGAAAAGCUCUUUGUUUUUUGAUCAGUGAUGCACAAAGAGAUUGCGAAGGCUCUUCACGAAACAGAUGCAUAUACAGUGUAAGGAUGGUUUAAUCAAAUAUUUGGGCCUUAAGGCUGAUUUUGGUGCAUCUAAACAACAAAUUUUUGAAUAUGUAUGUGAGAAAAUUAGUGAGCGGCUACAUGGAUGGGCUGAGCAAUUUUUAUUUGCUAUUGGGAAGGAGAUUUUGUUCAAGAUUGUGGCCAUGGCAAUGCCAAAUCAUGCCAUGUCCUGUUUCAAGUUACCGGUGAGCUUAUGCAAGAAAAUUGAGGGCGAGAUUGCCCGGUUUUGGUGGAAGAAUGGUGCAGAUCGUAAACCUAUCCACUGGGUGGGGUGGAAGCAAUUGUCUAGGCUGAAGAAGGAUGGUGGGCUGGGGUUUCGGGAAUUGACUUGUUUCAACCUUGCUAUGUUGGCUAAAAUUGGCUGGAGGAUUUUAUGCCAACCCCAAUCU
rnacentral:lncRNA from 1 species